CCGAGACUGCCCACUUCCUGUCAUCUUGCUUCCGUGUUCUCCGUGCCGGUACAGCCGCGUGUGUCUGUGGACCCCGUGUCAGUGUGCUCGGCCCGCGGCUGGCGUGACAUAGCAUUCUUUGCUGCCGCCGCUAUGCUAGCAUGUGCUCUUCACCUCUCCCUCCCCUGACAACUGAAUGAAAGGAUCUACCUGUUACUGUGUAUGGUUACAGGUCUACAAGCCCAUAUUUGUCUCCAUUCUCCAGAGAGCCAAAAGACAACUCACCAGAGAAAAUUUCUGAUGAGUUGUUGGAAAAGACGAGAGCAACAACAGAGUUCAGAUUGAAAAACUGGCAUCACUCACAGCUGGCCGGGGAACAAAUCCAUACCAGGAUGCUUUUCAGCAGAGCAGACUCAUUGCAAGUAAUUUCAACCUGGUGCUCAAAGUAGCAGGCAGGGCAGUUUCCCCAAUGUCUGUGCUGAAUGAUUGCUGAAUGAUUUAUCAAGUUGCCAGUGGCAGUUCAGUGGGGCAUCGCACCUGAGCUGAAUGUAAACGGGGAGUCCUCCAGGUUUGGAAAAAGACUGCAGUCAUCUGGGAUGUUGGGAGUGUCACCUGGUGGUUUGAUAGGGGACAAUGGGACAUUGCAGGUGAAAACUACCUACAGCAUGAGAAGCAGAGUUACAGGGUUGGCAGUUACAACCACUGCCUCACAGGCAGGAUGAUUUGUUAUUUUUUACCUGGCCAGUUCCAUCUCUCUUACGGUUCAGGCCAGCAACAUUUUCAAGUUUGAGUAAUAUAACCUAGAGGCUAUACUUUUGAAGUAUCUCCACACGGAGAUACACUUAAGGCAAGACAUUGUCUGCAAGGUUCUAUAAUGUAUUCAGUGUGUCUUCAUUCAACAACACACAUAACAAACAACCUUACUGAUCUUGCCCUUUUAGUAUGAGUCAUAGCAAUAUCUAAUGCAAGCCACCAGUUGUUCUAAAUUGAACUUGCAACAGUCUCAAAUGAACACCAUCAAAGUCAAACAUUCUUGAAGUUGAUGCUUCAUGCAUAGUGAGGCAACACAUCUACUAUUAUCAACAGUCUUCACUUCUUUUGCUAAUGUUUUAACUCUAGGAUGAUAAGUUAUAUGUCUAAAGUGUUUUAUAUCCAGUGCGGGAGUUCACAGAGCUGCAAAACCCAAAGGGCUUAUCAUGUGGCUCUCCUCAUUAAAAAAUACACUUCAUCUUGCUUAUGCAAUCACUUUUAAAGUAGCAAAGCAACAUGAAGCAGCUCAAACAACUCCCAGUCAUUUGACAAUUAUCCACAUUUUCAUUCAGUUAGAACACAUCUAUGUGUGCAUUAAGAGCAAGACAAGGAUUGUAGUUUUCUCUUUCUCCUUUUUUUUUUUUCAAAGCAUUCAAAAACCUUUCAUUUUGAAACACAGGAACAAUUUAAUUGCACCACUCAAAUGCGAUGUGCUCACUCUGUGAAUUUAUUUAAAAGUGUAUAAAAAGGUGGACCUGGUAGAUAAUUUACAUUCUGGUUCCAUUGGGUUCAGCAAAUGAAACAUCAGGGGAAAAAAAGUAGGAGACAAGGAAAAAAGCAGAAUAGUAAGACAGUGUUUGCUGAGUUGCUUUGCAGUAAAGAUGUAUGCAAAUUCAACAAAUGGAAGAACUUAAGGGUCAUAAUUGGAUGCCUAUUGGGAAUGUGACUUAAAAACAAGAUUAUGUAUAUAACAAAUUGAACUUUUUGUAAAGUUUGGAUGUCUGGUAGUUGCUAGGGUGCUUAUGGCCUGCCAUAGGGUGAAUAAAAUAUUAGCACUGGGCACAGAGGAAGUAAUAUAGGAGUGUUGUAUUAUUAGAAAUAGAAUGCUGAAGUAAAAUAUUUCAUGUAUGUAUAUAUGUACACUGCAUAUAUAUCGCUGCAUAUAUCUUCAGCUGAAACACAGAAAGCAGAGACGACAGAGAUAGAAGGAAAGAAUAUUUGACCAUUUUGGCACCGUGGACAGAGACGCUACUGAGUUAACCCCGGAAGCAUAUCUGGGCUGGGUUUAAUGUUUCAGCACCACGGACAGAGACACAACUGCUUGACCCUGGAAACACAGCUGGACAGGUUUAUUGUUUCAGCACCAUGGACAGAGACACAACUGCUCAACCCUGGAAACACAGCUGUACUGGGUUUAAUGUUUCAGCACCAUAGACAGAGACACUACAGGGUUUACACUGGAAGCACAGCCGGGCUGGGUAUAAUGUUUCAGAGCAAUGGGCAGAGGCCUAAAAUUAGACUGUUGCAGGGUCUGAUACUAGAGUGCUACUGGAAUGUGUAAUAAAACCAGGAAUUGAGUUGUCAUUUUAGCAUUUCAAGUAAUCUCAUCUUGAAUCGAGUGGGUUUUCUGAAUGUCUUUUUUGGCAGGUGCCUGAAAUAAGCACUGUAGCUAACAUAAGCUUAAGAGAUCUUCAUGUUUCAUUGUAGGAGAUCAAAUGCAUCAGUAUAUACUCCAGUUGUGAGUUUUGAUGCCUUAAGUUUCUUCAAAGUCAGUAGCUAAAAAGUGGCUAGAUGAGACUACAGCAUGUCAACCAAGCUGUGCUGAACACAUUUUUACAGCCUUGUUGUGGUGGUGUAAUUCAGUGGUGCCCAACUGGUGACUUGUGAAUGUGUAAGGUUUGUUUAAAAAAAAAAAAAAAAAAAAAAAAAAAA